UACAGAGGUCCCAAGCGUUGUUCGGAUUCAUUGGGCGUAAAGGGUGCGUAGGCGGCGCGGUAAGUCGGGUGUGAAAUCUCGGAGCUUAACUCCGAAACUGCAUUCGAUACUGCCGUGCUUGAGGACUGGAGAGGAGACUGGAAUUUACGGUGUAGCGGUGAAAUGCGUAGAUAAUCGUAAGGAAGACCAGUGGCGAAGGCGGGUCUCUGGGCCUUACCUGACGCUGAGGAGCGAAAGCGUGGGGAGCGAACAGG
rnacentral:rRNA from 1 species